rnacentral:rRNA from 1 species
GGCGCUUUUCAAAGCACUUAAGAACACCUUACAGUAUACCGCCCACUGAAGUUAAGCAGGGCUGAGCUUGGUCAAUACCUGGAUGGGAGACCACAUGGGAAAGCUAGGUUGCUGCCG